GUGUUUCCACUAGAACGAUUUCCUUUCCCCACACGGCAAUUCAGAUUUCCCCUUCUACGGACUUUUUUCCCCUCAAAAAUUAUUUUGCUGUAGUUUUGACACCACACGCCACACCUAAAAUUUAUAGUUUAUUUAUCGUUCUUCUUCUAUAGUCUAUUGUAUUAAUAUUAUUAUUUACACAAAAUUCGUCAACAAAAUCAUCGACAGUCGACUUUGCAGAUUACUACUAUUAUUUUGAUAUAGCUGCACAUCACUAGCUAUCAAUUUCCUUACUGUUGGUACUACUUGUUCUAUGGUGGUUGGUACGGUGAUCCAUUCAAAUAAAUAAUCACAGCUAGAAAUAUUUAUUGCGACGGUUGUUUAAUGUGAAAAGAAAUGGAUCGGUGGCUAAUAAAUACUGCUGCUAAAAAAUCGAAUGAAGAAAAGAUUCCUCUGAGCUCAUCCGAAAGACCCGGCACUAGUACAUGCUCUUAUGAACUUCAACCCGGAACGAGUUUUCAGUCCAUUAGUUAUGUCGAGGAUCAGAAAGAACAAUUAGAUCCUCAAACUUCGUCAGUAAUGGAAAUCGAAAAUGAAAAAUCGGUUGAUAACUGUACUGAAGACGAAGAAGAGGGAUACAAUACUGAAAAUGAAAAAAAGCAGUUCAAGCAGAUUGGUAGUUCAAAAUCUAUGGCAAAAGGUAGGAAAAAGAUAUUUAAGAAGAAGUUUCAGCAUGAUUGGCUUAAGCAACCUGAGUUCAAAGCAUGGUUAUUAAAUGGGAAUAAGGAUGAUAAUGCAAUUUGUAAGGUGUGCAAUGUGGUUAUGAAGGCGGGAAAAUCAGAGCUUAAAAAGCAUGGUGAUGGAAAAGCUCAUAAAAAAAAUAUGGAGGCGUGGCUACAGAGUAAUAUUAAUCAACCUAGUAUUACAACAUUCGUUACAGAAAAUACAAAGCUGAAAAAUACCGAAGCUGCCAUUUGUUCUUAUAUCGUCGAAAACAAUCUUCCUAUUUCAUCAAUUGAACCUUUAAUUGAAUUGAUUAAAUCUUUACCAGAGAAGGCAAUCACAUCGCAAAUCUCUUUAGCGAAACAAAAAGCCACUAAUGUCAUUAGGAAUGGAUUGCGCCCAUUUUUUAAUAAUAAACUUAUUAAUGAACUGAACAAUCAUUUGUUUUCCGUUUAUAUUGACGAAACAACUGAUGUAAGCGUCACAAAGCAACUAGCGAUACUAGUCAGCUACUGCCAUAAUUUUAUAACAAAAGUAGA